GCCCUGAUGCAGCCAUGCCGCGUGUGUGAAGAAGGCCUUCGGGUUGUAAAGCACUUUCAGUAGGGAGGAAGGUAGUGUAGUUAACACCUGCAUUAUUUGACGUUACCUACAGAAGAAGCACCGGCUAACUCCGUGCCAGCAGCCGCGGUAAUACGGAGGGUGCGAGCGUUAAUCGGAAUUACUGGGCGUAAAGCGCAUGCAGGCGGCCUGUUAAGUCAGAUGUGAAAGCCCCGGGGCUUAACCUCGGAAUUGCAUUUGAAACUGGCAGGCUAGAGUCUUGUAGAGGGGGUAGAAUUUCAGGUGUAGCGGUGAAAUGCGUAGAGAUCUGAAGGAAUACCAGUGGCGAAGGCGGCCCCCUGGACAAAGACUGACGCUCAGAUGCGAAAGCGUGGGGAGCAAACAGGAUUAGAUACCCUGGUAG
rnacentral:rRNA from 1 species